rnacentral:rRNA from 1 species
GCAUGCGGGUGGUUCAUUAAGGCAGAUGUGAAAGCCCGGGGAAAGCCGCGGAACUGCAUUUGAAACUGGUGAACUAGAGUACUGUAGAGGGGGGUAGAAUUUCAGGUGUAGCGGUGAAAUGCGUAGAGAUCUGAAGGAAUACCAGUGGCGAAUGCGGCCCCCUGGACAGAUACUGACACUCAGAUGCGAAAGCGUGGGGAGCAAACAGGAUUAGAUACCCUGGUAGUCCACGCCGUAAACGAUGUCUACUUGGAGGUUGUGGCCUUGAGCCGUGGCUUUCGGAGCUAACGCGUUAAGUAGACCGCCUGGGGAGUACGGUCGCAAGAUUAAAACUCAAAUGAAUUGACGGGGGCCCGCACAAGCGGUGGAGCAUGUGGUUUAAUUCUAUGCAACGCGAAGAACUUUACCUACUCUUGACAUCCAGAGAAGCCAGCGGAGACGCAGGUGUGCCUUCGGGAGCUCUGACACAGGUGCUGCAUGGCUGUCGUCAGCUCGUGUUGUGAAAUGUUGGGUUAAGUCCCCGCAACGAGCGCAACCCCUUAUCCCUUUGUUUGCCAGCGAGUC